rnacentral:lncRNA from 1 species
GCUGCAAAAUGUUACCAAAUAUUCACUUACUAUGCUUUUAUUCAUUUUCCUCUCUCUAUAAACCUUCAGAUAGAAAAUGCAGUUGAAAGAUAUUUCAUAAAGGAAGAAAAGAAGUAUGAAUACAGCUUUAACCAUUUAUUUUGGUGGAGUCUUUAAGAUUUUCUCUAUCUUGAGUGCGCGAGGCGCGGGGAGCCUAGGACCUGGAGCGAGAGCCGCCUACCUGCAGCCGCCGCCCACGGCACGGCAGCCAUCAUGGCGUUCCUGCUGCGCUUCGUGCUCCUGUGCGGAGUCGCGGAUUUCACCAGAAGUUUGAGUAUCACUACUCCUGAGCAGAUGAUUGAAAAAGCCAAAGGGGAAACUACCUAUCUGCCAUGCAAAUUAUGCUUAGUCCUGAAGACCAGGGACCACUGGACAUUGAGUGGCUGAUAUCACCAGCUGAUAAUCAGAAGAUGGAUCAAGUGAUGAUUUUAUAUUCUGGAAACAAAAUUUAUGAUGAUUACUAUCCAGAACUGAAAGGCCGAGUACAUUUUAAGAGAAAUGAUCUCAAAUCUGGUGAUGCUUCAAUAAAUGUAACGAAUUUAC